rnacentral:rRNA from 1 species
ACGCAGUAGCAAUACUGAGUGGCAGACGGGUGAGUAACAUGUGGGAAUCUGCCUUGUGGUUCAGGACAACAUUGGGAAACCGAUGCUAAUACUGGAUAAGCCCUUACGGGGAAAGUUUUAAUGCCAUAAGAUGAGCCCGCAUUUGAUUAGUUAGUUGGUGAGGUAAUGGCUCACCAAGACAAUGAUCAAUAGCUGAUCUGAGAGGAUGAUCAGCCACACUGGGACUGAGACACGGCCCAGACUCCUACGGGAGGCAGCAGUGGGGAAUCUUGCACAAUGGAGGAAACUCUGAUGCAGCGAUGCCGCGUGAGUGAAGAAGGCCUUUGGGUUGUAAAGCUCUUUUGUAGGGGAAGAUAAUGACUGUACCCUAAGAAUAAGGUCCGGCUAACUUCGUGCCAGCAGCCGCGGUAAUACGAAGGGACCUAGCGUAGUUCGGGAUUACUGGGCGUAAAGCGCGCGUAGGCCGUUGAGUUAGUUAAUUGUGAAAUCCCAAAGCUUAACUUUGGAACUGCAAUUAAAACUGCUCGACUAGAGUUUGAUAGAGGAAAGCGGAAUACAUAGUGUAGAGGUGAAAUUCGUAGAUAUUAUGUAGAACACCAGUUGCGAAGGCGGCUUUCUGGAUCAACACUGA